rnacentral:tRNA from 1 species
GCGGGAAUAGCUCAGUGGUAGAGCUCCACCUUGCCAAGGUGGAAGUCGCGGGUUCGAAUCCCGUUUCCCGCU